CUCCCCGCGGCGCACGUACUAAGGCUAGGAGUCCCGCCCACCCCGCGACGACAGCCAAUCACAACGUUCUUUCGCUAUCUCUGUUGGCUGUCCGGUGCCUCGCCGCCUGACUGAGUCCGAUAGGGAUGAAAAUCAGGGCCUGUGCAUGCCGGGCAAGGGCUACCGACGGAGCCCCUGUUAACUCAUGGACUUGCAGAACCACCCUGAGAGUUGGGGCUGCUCUGUCAGUACCACACGGUUCGGUUCAUAACUGGCCGUGGCUGCAGCCUGAGUUGCGCUGGGGAGACUGAGCAAUCACGUGACCUGCUGAAGGUCUCCCAGUGAGGGGAACGUUGACGUGUUCAUGCUGAGUGCUUAUGGUUUUCACUAUGCAGUUCAGACUGGUCUUGAACUCAC